rnacentral:lncRNA from 1 species
CUUUUCUAUGUGUACGGGUCAGUGGCAGCCAUUGUGAAUUUCAGUUCAUACAACUGUUAAAUAUCUGCCAUAAUAAAGCCUUAUAACACCUCUUUCAAAUCGUUUUCUGCUAAGAAAAAGAUUGAGUCGACAGAAAGGGGCGUGGUGGAAAGAAGAGAACAGUGAAGGACGUUUUGCAAGACCAAGGUCAUGGCCAGAUCAAUGAAACGAGCAUCCCCACUAAAACUGAAAGCAGAACUUGACAGAUCUAAUGAUUUAGCUUGCUGCAGACAUUUUAUUCAUUGCAUUAAGUAUGCCUUUUCGAAAGUUUUUUUCAAAACAGUCAUUGCAAACCGGUUGACACUAAUUUUUUUAUAAAUCUAACGCAAGUUUGAAACAGAAUAGCACAAGUUUGGGAACGCAUUUUUAUACAUUUAUCGGUGCAACAACAAAGGGCGAAAAUGUAAACAAACAUAUCAACUGACAAUUGAUUUAUAUAUCUGUAUUAUCAUAUGUUAAUAGCCAUCAAGUCCAAAUAAUUAUGACGUCUUGAAAGGCUAUUAUAAUUUUUUUCUUUGACGCCUUGCGUCAAAGAAAAAAAUUAUAAUAGCCUUUCAAGACGUCAUAAUUAUUUGGACUACUGUUUUGGGGGUACUGUACUUAAUAAAGGUCCAGUAUUCAGGUAGUCCAAAUGAUUAUGACUUCUGGCAAGGUAGUCCAAAUAAUUAUGAGGUCUUGAAAGGCUAUUAUAAUUUUUUUUCUUUGACGCCUUACUUCAAUCUUUGACGCCUUACUUCGAAGUAAGGCGUCAAAGAAUUUUUUUUUAAUAUACUGGCAAGGCUAUUUUAAUUUUUUUCUUGGACGCCUUCCUACAACGUCAUAACGCUGAAGCCAUUUUUUACGUCUGGAGUUUGAGAGCAAAUUUUGGGGGGAACUUUGACACCUAAUUUUGACAUGAAAUUGUCAUUGCCGGUUAGAAAUUUUAACGUAGUUACAAAGUCCUACCUUUUUUGUGGUUAUUGAUGUAAAAUAUUUCCAGAAAUAUCCGAAAGAAAAGAUAAAAUAAGCUACGAUUCCAUUUGAGGUAGGCAAAUAUUUAUUUGUUUCAAAAUGUUUUCCCACAAUUACCAAAGAAACGUCACUUCCGGUGAAUAUAAAAUUUUAAAAAGAUUACCUUGCAAGUUCAAUGUCUUCAACUAGUGUUCCCCAAAUUUGCUAGCUUGUCAUGUGACUUCCUUUUGGGAUUCUCUGUCUUUUUCAUAAAUAAUUAUUAUAUGCAAAAUUGAGAAUGCAUGUCUGUAACAUAGUAAUCAUGACAAUAGAUAUUAGAAUAUAAAUUCCAAAUUUAUUCGUAUGGUUUUAAAUCUGUAACUAGUACAAAUGCACAUGUAACUUGAAAAUUUAAAUUAUACUAGGACCAAUCAAUUUAUCCUACUAAAAGAUGUUUAAAAUGAUCUAAUGAGCAAACUCUUCUGUAAUUAUCCAAUUUCCUCUUAAGAAAAAUGUGCAGAAAUGUAACAUGAAAUUCAUCAUUAGCUAUACAUGUACAAUAUCAAUGAAUACUGUACAAAGUAUUUUCUGAGCAUUGAAGGCAUCACAUUUUUCAUGGGGAUGUCUAUAAAUCUUAUAAAAUAACACACAGUCAACAGGAUUACAAUGUUGGCCAUUAGGUUCGAUAGAUGAGGACUAUUCUUAUUUUUAAAAUUUAAAAUAAAAAAAUCCUUUAUAAUAAACUUUGUUGUAUGGGUUGGUUUUAUCAAAUUUACAACCAUUUAUUGUUCUGUUGAGUCUGGUUUAACAUGUUAAAGUUUAAUGAAUGAUAAUUAUGAUAACACACUAUUUUUUAUUUUUUAUUUCCAGAAAUGAAUAUGUCAAGUGAGCUGGGUAUUUCCCCAGUCUUGUUACAAGCUAUGAGUGAAAAAAUAUCUUCAAAAGAUUCAAAAAUGGAUCCAACAUUUAUCAAACAGGAAAUGAUUGACAACCAUGAUAAUGUUUCUCAAAAUGAGGCAUCAUGUGACCCAAUUAUGAACCAAGAUGUGAGUCAGAUUCUUCCGGACAUUGUGAAUUCUGUUCAGCAGAGAAUUUCUAUGGAAGGAUCCAACAGAACAAUAACUGCUGAUGACAUUCGUCAGUUGAUUAGCUUGAAACUUGCACAACAAGCUCAACAGCAAAUUUCUCAGAAUAGUGACGGACAGAAUUCUUUUGCCGUUAAUCAACCCAACACAACAACUGACACAUCCAUGAUGAAUUUUUUAUCAAAUGUCGCUGCAACUCAGACAAAGUCAACAGCUGAAAGCAACAUUAACAAUAGUAAUAUAACCAAUAGUUCAAACGUGAGAAAUUAUGAGAAUGAACCAAAUGUGCAAGGUUCUUCAAAUUCAAAUCAAGUCUUCAUGUGUUAUAACAACAACCAGAACUCCAACACAACUGCACCCUCUCCGUCUAACGAUAUUGUUGUGUCCGAAGCAGGAUCUGCAGUUAAUGUUGUUAUCGACCAAACUGGUCAAAGAUAUCUUAUGCAAGACACAGACUUGCAUGUCGAUCAGGCAAAAGUGAAUGAACAUUUAAUUAGGCAAGCUAGAUAUAAUGAGAAAGGAGAAUUGGUAAUUUCUGACAUGCCCGUGGAUAGUGCUUCUGAAAAGUCUGAAGGUGUAGAUCUCUCAGUGUCCCUGGAGUCUCGUUUACACACAACACAUCCAACAACAGUUGUGACAGACCCUUGUCCAGUGUGUGGAGAUCAAGUUUCAGGU